UACGUAGGGUGCAAGCGUUGUCCGGAUUUAUUGGGUUUAAGGGUGCGUAGGUGGCUUUUUAAGUCAUGGGUGAAAGCCCGCAGCUCAACUGUGGAAUUGCCUGUGAUACUGAGGAGCUUGAGUGCGGUUGAGGCAGCUGGAAUUGGUGGUGUAGCGGUGAAAUGCAUAGAUACCACCAGGAACAACGAUUGCGAAGGCAGGUUGCUAAGCCGUAACUGACACUGAGGCACGAAAGCGUGGGUAGCAAACAGG
rnacentral:rRNA from 1 species